UUCCACAGUGUGCAAGCUCUCUUAUUCUAAUUCUGCAAUAAAUUACUAAUUUUCAUUUCAAAUGGAUUAUACUGUCCUGUCAUCCCCAGGUUUUAACUCUGGAACCCUGGAUGUGAUAUGUGGUUAAAGGAGUUGUAGAAAAAUAGUUAAGGACUCAUAUUAUGCAAUCCAAUAUGAUAAAUGUCUAAAAUGGUUUCAUAUUAAAUAUGUACGUCGAAAUAAAAUCAGACUCCUAUAAUAUGAUCAAAAAGAUAGAAAAGCAUGUUUUGUGGUGCAUUUAAAAUUAUAUUUGAAAAGUGGAAAACUGCGGAGGUGUAAAGGUUAUGGAUAAACAAAUGUCUUCAACUCUUGAACUCAUUAAAAAAUAGAUACUUGUUAAUGGUGAGUGAAUAAGAAAAGUAAAAGAAGAAAUUGGAAGGAAGGUUACUUGCACCCUUAAAGAAAUGGAAGAAAAAAAAACAUAAUCUCUCAGACCUUAUCACUUAUGCUGAUAUACUGAUAAACUAUGACAGCAGCUACCAGAACUCACAAGCUCUUUAUUUCAAGUGGAGUAUUUGCGAUGCCUCUUGACAUUAACAUAAAAUACGAAGAAACAAAAAAAAAUUAAAGAGAGUAUGUCUCUUGUGACGGCCGGGGGACGCGCUAAUUGGCACAACCUUUGCAGAUGAUAUACCCAGGUUACUUGAGGAGACAAAAUUAGCUUUGGGGUUAAGCUAUGAAAUUUUUCUGAACAAAUCCAGAUUACCUCAAAUUAAGAUCAGUGGGAUUUUUAAACAGUAUGACAAUGAACAUCUAGCGGAUGAAUUAAAUUAUAAGCGACAAGAUAUAUAAAGCGACAAAUCCUAUAUUCAAGACAAGAUUUAAUUCAUGGUUCUACAAAAUUGCUUUUAUUUUUUUACAAAAUUAUCAAUAGAUUUUUUAACAAUUAAUGACUAAAGUAAAGCUUUAGAAAGUGGUAAAAAUCCUGUAAAAAAAAUUCGAAGUUUCAAAAAAUUUCGUACAAAAUUUAAAAAUAAAAGGAGAGAAGAAUUAGAUUUUUACCAGUUCGAAUGCUUUGAAUUCCGAAAGUACAUGUAUGUAUGUAUGUAAGUAUCAAAUAAUUUUUAUUUCAAUAAAAAAAUUACAUCAGAUAGAUUUUUCAAAAUGUAAGUAAUAAAUAAGUAAAAACGUUUCAGUUGGUAUAAACUGAAAGAAUAAGAACGCUGCACUUUUACAAUCUGCGCUUAAAAAUUUAUUUUUGAAAUAUCCACAAUUAGCUUUCAUAGGCAAUUACUCGUAUCUUUUCCAGAUCCUUGGCAAUAACUCGAAACUUCCCAGAUGUUAUGUGCGACCUAUAAGUGGACACAAGGUUGCCAAGUUUCAUGAAUCUAGCUUUAAUAUUUUUCCAAAUAUUUUCUUUUGGAGUUACGUGGCAGCUACCAGAAUCUGUCAACUCUUUCCACCAAAACUUCAAGGAUGAAUUUAACUCUUAUAUUUGUAAAUAUUUUAAAUUAAAUUUUGGACCUUUAUGGUAGCUACCAGAGCCUGUGGGACCACUCUACCAAAAUUUCAGGGUUACAUCUGACCUGAAACUGGACGCACUAUUGCCAACUUUUUAUGAAUUAUUUUUCGAAAUAUUUAAAAUAAGCUUUCAUAGUUGUAUGGCGGCUACCCGAACCCGUUGUCAGUAUUGGCACAGCCGUCUUUGGCAAAAAAGCAACAACUUGAAUUAUCAUGCGAUAGAACGCACGGAGAAUAUACAUAUAUACAUGUCAUCAAGUCUCCAUCAAGUGGUUACAAACUGCAUACCAAAGUGAAUAUACCCCUACCAAAAGUGCAGAGUAAAAAAAGAAAAAACAAGUGAAAAGUUUGAUAAAAAAAUUAAGACAGAAUACAUAAAUCGGAAAAUUAAUUCAACCAAUGGUAAUUGUACCAAACAAUGACAACUAAUCAGAAGAAAUAUCCGGUCCGAGAAGUUGUGAAAAAUUUAGACAGAAAAUUGCACAAAUAUCUCACCAGGAUACCUUAUACAUAUGUACACCGAUAGCAAUCAAAUUGCUAAUGUAUUUAAUAUCUACUUAAACCAGGUGAGCCAUCACCAUUUAACUAGAAAACUCAGUGUACCAAGAACUAAGAAUCUUUCUAUUGUAAGUUCUGUCUUUUAUAAUUCGACUUCGGUCAUUGGACAGACAGCAAUAAUUUCAAAGCUCAAGGAUGCUUUAGCUCCUGGUGUUGAUAAUAUAACUAACAAAGAUAUCAAAAUGAUCAUCGAAAUCAUCAUGCCCAAUCUAAUUUAGUUAGCAAACGAUUGCCUUGAGGAUCUCAGGUACUUUCUUAGAAGUCCUCAAACAUACAUCCAUAAACAAGGCGAACCGGUAAAGCAAAAUAUUGGAAAAAAUCAUCUAUUUGAAACUGAGGAGCUUCAUUCAGCGUACUACAAGCUUUGGCAGAAACCAGUUAAGCUCUAUUCCAUACAGCAGCACUAAAUCAGUGGUUGUAGAAACAAUUAACUCACUCAACUCAUACCUAGACAAAAGCAAUGGCACCCUGUUCAAACCAGCAUAAAUGGUACAAUAAGCAAUUCACUAUUUUUGUGUGGUGGACUAUCUAAUGGUAAAACCCUAGGACACUUUUUAUACCUCCUCUGCAUAAGCAAUCUAAAAUAUCUGGUAUCUACAUAAGCAAUCUAAAAUAUGUGGGUUUAUCUACUAAAUAUACUGUCUAUAUGAAUGACACAGCUUUAAUGUAUUACGGCUAGUAUCUCAUGGAACUGGAACACCACAUCAAUCAAAAAUCAUAAUAUAAUUAGUGUAAUAGGCACAAUCCUAUAAAUAUAUGUAUAUGUUCUUGUUA